AAUAUUGUCGAUAUUUUUUUUUCCAUCGUUUCUCUCUUUUUCUCUGUUUGUCUGCUAUUUGUCUGUUCAUCUCUCUCUCUCUCUCUCUCUCUCUUUCUCUCUCUCUCUCUCUGUCUGUCUGUUUGUCUGUCCUCUACUAUUUUGACUUCGGGCGUGCUACGUGCUACGUGCGUGCGUGCGUGCGUGCGUGUGUGUGUAUGUGUUAAAGAGAGAGAGAGUGCGCGAACCGUGAGUGUGUCAAUACGCACGCGCGACCACGCGUCGCCACUCCGUCUGCUUCGUUUUAUUUCUUCGUCCUUGGAAACGUAACGACCGACGCUUCUCUCUCUCUCUCUCUCUCUCUCUCUCUUUUUCUCUCUCUCUCUUUCUCUCUCUAUCUAUUUCUCUUUUUAUUUAUCUUCUUCUCUUGACCACGAAGACGUCAACGACACGACGAUAACGACGACGAUAACAACGACGACGAGGACGACGACGACGACGAGAAAAAUUUACAGUGACUGUGUUACGACUUAUUCUCUUUCUUCACUUUUUUUAUCUUUAUCUUUUCCUCCUAUUCCUUCUCCUUCUCCUCCAUCUUUUCUUUUCUCCAUAUCAUCGGCGACAAGUAACGCGUUUUUGUCGACGAGGAAAGGAAACAUGCACGGCGAAAAUUGGAGAACGACGACAGCCGUUGUUGCAACGAGGAGCCACCAAGAACAACAACAACACGAAGAAGACGAAUGCGACGUCACGCUACUACCGCACGUGACUACUACCACCAUCAUCGACGAGGACCGAUCCGCUUCCUACUCUUCCUCCCCCUUAACAACUACUACCACCGUUAUUGCCUCUACCACCACCGCUAUCACCAUCAGCAACACUACCACCAUCACCAGCAGCAGUAGCAGCAGCAGUAUUACUACCUUUUCUUCCACUUUUUUCUUAACCUCUCAACUUCAGUGAAAUAAGAAGAAGAAAAAGAAGAAGAAGAAGAGAGAGAGAGAAAGUCGAGUUAUUGCGAGCACUCGCGUGUUUUUUGGUGUCUUGUUUCUUGGUAAAAGAAGAAGAGGAAUAAUAAUAUUAAUAAUAAUAAUAAGAAGAAGAAGAAGAUAAUAAGAAAAAGAGUGAACGUGAUUGGUGCGUUAAUAUUUUAAAACCUAUUUAAACUUAUCGAUCGUUUCCUUGGUUGAUUGUUACAUUCGCGAAUCGAAGAGCAAUAUUAUAUUAUUAUCUCUCGACGCUCAUUGCGAGAGACCGAGAUAAUAGAAUCCUGGCAGCCCUUCGGUUAUUCUCGAUAAAAUCGAGAGAAAAAAGAUGAGACGUCGUAUCACCGAGGUCACAACCUCGACGAUGCACCCGGUGCUCUUCUGUUGGUGUGUCGCCGCCAUUUUUAGCGUCGCCUUAGCGGCAUGGCAGGAAAAUGUGCGACCGAAGAUGUACGUUCAAUUAGGACACGGAAAGCUCAGUUAGAAUAGGAAGAAGAUUCUUUUGUUCGAUCUUAUCGCUUCGGUUUAUCGCCGGAGGUCGAGUGAAAUACCGAUAAACGUGGUGCAUACGUGUACACAAUGAUUGGAUGUCGAGUAACAUUAGUAUUGCAUCAGUGUGCCAAUCUCUAACAACAACUUUGGAGUUUCCUUGAUCGAUCAAGAACUGACUUUGACUGACUGUCACGAGAAUGUACAACAACUGCUUUUGGCGAAUGUAUCGACUCGAAUGUCUGAUCAAACUUCGAUAUUCCUUCGACGCAAACAUCGAAGUUCUCCCACUAUUUAUACUUUUAGAAAUAAAAAAUGACUUCUUAAAGGGGUGGGGUUAUGAAGAAAAGCACCCAUUGGCUAAAACGUUUCUUCAUUCUAUUGAUACUUAUAACAGACGGACAUAUUUAUGGUCAUAAAUUUCCGAAGAUAAUUCUAUAUAAUUCAGGUACGUUUAAAAUUGCUUUAUUACUUUAGCAAAUGUCCUAAAUAUCCAACCAAUGUCUUACAAAGGUUUCCGACGUCCAAAAUUAAUCCGACAAAAAUUGCUUUAUUACUUUAUCCCAUGAUCCUAUCGUAAAUACCCAAUCUGUGAAAUACCUUAUAAAGGUUUUUGUUCUCCGAUAUUUUAGAAUCUUCGAGAUCCAUGUCCCAAAAGCUACAAAUGACAAAUAGUAUUAUUUUUAGAUCAUGUUUAUCGAAA